rnacentral:rRNA from 1 species
UACAGAGGUCCCGAGCGUUGUUCGGAUUCAUUGGGCGUAAAGGGUGCGUAGGCGGCGGGGCUAGUCUGAUGUGAAAUCCUGGGGCUCAACCCCAGAACUGCAUUGGAUACUGCCUUGCUAGAGUACUGGAGAGGGAACUGGAAUUUACGGUGUAGCAGUGAAAUGCGUAGAGAUCGUAAGGAAGGCCAGUGGCGAAGGCGAGUUCCUGGACAGUUACUGACGCUGAGGCACGAAGGCCAGGGGAGCAAACGGGG